UGGAGGAGUGAUUUGUCCGAUUAAUUCUGUUAACGAACAAGACCCCUGCAUGCUAAAUAGUCUGGUGAGUAUUUUAAACUGUUCGCGGCUUCUUAGAGGGAUGUGCAUUUCAACUAGUUUCAGGAAGAUGGGGCAAUAACA
rnacentral:rRNA from 1 species